rnacentral:lncRNA from 1 species
CCGCACUUCCGAACUCGAAAUUUAGUUUCGUGGGCUAGAAUCUACCAUUUAAAGAUACCUAAGUCAAACUUGAAACUUCUCUUUAAAAUAGGACAGAUUUAGUUAGGUGGCCAAUUGCACCUAAACAAAAAAAAAUUAAUGGUUACUCCUAAGUUUAUAUCUGGUGAUGGGUCAAUGGAUCUACACGUUAUGACAAUGUACACAUUUGCAU